rnacentral:rRNA from 1 species
CAGUCGAACGAAGCACUCUUUUAGAUUUCCUUCGGGGAAGAAGAAAUUGUGACUGAGUGGCGGACGGGUGAGUAACGCGUGGGCAACCUGCCCCAUACAGGGGGAUAACAGCCGGAAACGGCUGCUAAAACCGCAUAAGCGCACAAGGGCCGCAUGGCCUGGUGUGAAAAACUCCGGUGGUAUGGGAUGGGCCCGCGUCUGAUUAGCUAGUUGGCGGGGGAGAGGCCCACCAAGGCGACGAUCAGUAGCCGACCUGAGAGGGUGGCCGGCCACAUUGGGACUGAGACACGGCCCAAACUCCUACGGGAGGCAGCAGUGGGGAAUAUUGCACAAUGGGGGAAACCCUGAUGCAGCGACGCCGCGUGAGCGAAGAAGUAUUUCGGUAUGUAAAGCUCUAUCAGCAGGGAAGAAAAAUGACGGUACCUGAGUAAGAAGCACCGGCUAAAUACGUGCCAGCAGCCGCGGUAAUACGUAUGGUGCAAGCGUUAUCCGGAUUUACUGGGUGUAAAGGGAGCGCAGGCGGUGCGGCAAGUCUGAUGUGAAAGCCCGGGGCUCAACCCCGGGACUGCAUUGGAAACUACCGAACUAGAGUGUCGGAGAGGUAAGUGGAAUUCCUAGUGUAGCGGUGAAAUGCGUAGAUAUUAGGAGGAACACCAGUGGCGAAGGCGGCUUACUGGACGAUAACUGACGCUGAGGCUCGAAAGCGUGNGGAGCAAACAGGAUUAGAUACCCUGNUAGUCCACGCCGUAAACGAUGAAUACUAGGUGUC